UACGUAGGGUGCGAGCGUUGUCCGGAAUUAUUGGGCGUAAAGAGCUCGUAGGCGGCUAUUCAAGUCGAACGUGAAAUCUCGGAGCUCAACUCCGAGCCUGCGUUCGAUACUGGGUAGCUAGAGUCUGGUAGGGGGAUCUGGAAUUCCUGGUGUAGCGGUGGAAUGCGCAGAUAUCAGGAGGAACACCGGUGGCGAAGGCGGGAUCCUGGGCCAGUACUGACGCUGAGGAGCGAAAGCGUGGGGAGCAAACAGG
rnacentral:rRNA from 1 species